UAAAGAAAUUAAAAACUGGAGUUACUGUUUUUAAUCAAUAGAUUAUACGAUUGCUAUUGUUUACUUCAUUUUAUCAGCAUAAAAAUGGUUUAGGUGGUAGGAUUCUUGAGCAGAUCGGUGGCAACUGAGACGAGAUUCCAGCAGUACAUGGUUGUCAAGGUUGGUUCCGACAACCUGAUUUUGAUUUAGCGGCCACAGGUAUGUUUUUCGAGAACGAAGUUCUGGAGGCUUUAAUGAUGAUUCUAACAGCUGCAGUAGCCAUUUGUGACACCGCGAGAGGCUAUUAGAGUAGAAAGAGUUCACAAUUC